GACGAACGCUGGCGGCGUGCUUAACACAUGCAAGUCGAACGGUGACCUCGAGAGCUUGCUCUUGAGCGAACAGUGGCGAACGGGUGAGUAACACGUGAGUAACCUGCCCCAGACUCUGGAAUAAGCGCUGGAAACGGCGUCUAAUACCGGAUACGAGACGGAGUCGCAUGACUACUGUCUGGAAAGUUUUUCGGUCUGGGAUGGACUCGCGGCCUAUCAGCUUGUUGGUGAGGUAACGGCUCACCAAGGCGAUGACGGGUAGCCGGCCUGAGAGGGCGACCGGCCACACUGGGACUGAGACACGGCCCAGACUCCUACGGGAGGCAGCAGUGGGGAAUAUUGCACAAUGGGCGAAAGCCUGAUGCAGCGACGCCGCGUGAGGGAUGACGGCCUUCGGGUUGUAAACCUCUUUCAGCAGGGAAGAAGCGAAAGUGACGGUACCUGCAGAAGAAGCACCGGCUAACUACGUGCCAGCCGCCGCAGUAACAC
rnacentral:rRNA from 1 species